rnacentral:lncRNA from 1 species
GGGAGAAGCAUUCUUUAGGCUAAUUAAUUCAGGCAUGAGAGAGGAUUACACUACAAUUCCAAAUUUGUUUUGAGAAGUGAUUUUGCCACAGCAUUCCUCCACCCCAACCCGCCUCACCCUUUUGUCUAUUUUUUCUGGUUAAUUUUUGACAAGGUGCCAUGUACAUACAGUUGAGAGAAUACCAUACUCUUUUUUAUUGUCAGUUUUGUCCAGAGGAGUGCCCCUCAUCUUUCUAUAAUUGUGGCAUAUACAGCUAAGAGAAAAGUAUACUCCUUUUUAUUAUCAUACCGUUUUUGCACGAAGAAUGACAUUGUCCCACCUUCUACCCUUCUAUUAUUUCCGGUCAGAUUUUGGCAGUGUGGUCUUUUGGAGGGAAGUUUUGCUUCUGUUCUUCUGUGACAAUGGACGAUUUCAUGGAUAUGCAUGAAAAGGCCUAUUAGUGGAUGUUUGUAAUAAAAUUAAAUUGAAAAAAAUCACUAGCAUCAGGAUAGUAAAGAGUGAAUUAUGUAAAAAUAUUCCUGGUGCUGUUGCAAAAUUUGUUUCUUGUUACUAUACACAAUUUCAAAAACAACUAACAAUAAAGUAGAUGUCCACUGACUUGGAGAUGGCUAAACGAAUGAAGGCACAUGAAUGCAAUGUUUUGGUACAGUUAUAAGGGAGUAUUACUGAUGGAUCCCUAAGGAAAAAUAGGAAGAGUUUUAAAAGGAGAUGAGAACCGAUUCCGCAAACCCACACUGAGCCCGACUGAGCAAGACCUGCUCAGGUCUUAAGAAGCUCACUCUCAUCUCCCUGUACCUGAUACCCGGAGAGUGGGUGGUAAGAGGCUACUGUAGUCACGAGAUGAAUGAAUGAAUGAAUGGACAGACAGCUCGCAGCCAGCCUCUACGGACGUGGACCGUGAGAGAGGCGACUGCGCAUGCCAGAAGGCGGGCGCCCAGAGGAAGGGAAGCGGAGACAUCUUUGUCCCUUGGUUCCUUUUUCCUGCUUGGGAGCUAGCCUGAGGAAACGAAACCAGCCUGCCCUAAAGUAGCCCGAGGGAUCGCAGUGACCCAUUUAGCUCGCUGCAGGGAGGCCCAGCGUCCUCCAGGG